GCCAAAGUGGGAGCCCAGGCAGAGGAGGCGCCGAGAGCUGCCAGUACGCUGUCACCUCUCAAUUGUCCCCUGCUAGAAUAACAGAGUAAUUGAUAAUCAUGGCCAUAAGAGGGGUGGGGGGGCAGAGUCAGGAAUUUCUGCACUAUGUGGCACAAGGAGCUCCCUGAGGCCUCUCCAGAAGCAGAUGCCAGCACCAUGCUUCCUGUAAAGCCUGCAGAACCAUGAGCCAAUUCUUCUUUUCUUGUCUUGCUGCUGCUCCCUCUUUGGGUCCGCACUGCCUUUAUGAGCUGUAACAGUCACCGCGAAGGUCUGCAGCUUCAAUCCUGAGGCCAGCGAGACCACGAACCCACCAGGAGGAAUGAACAACUCCGGAUGGGAGGAACGAACAACUCCGGAUGGGAGGAACGAACAACUCCAGACGCGCGCCGCUUUAAGAGCUGUAACAUUCACUGCGAAGGUCUGCAGCUUCACUCCUGAAGCCAGCGAGACCAUGAACCCACCAGAAGGAAGAAACUCCGAACACGUCCGAACAUCAGAAGGAACAAACUCCAGACACACCAUCUUUAAGAACUGUAAUACUCACCGCGAGGUUCGGCAGCUUCAGUCUUGAAGUCAAUGAGUCCAAGAACCCACCAAUUCUGGACACAGUAGGAUAGUGUGUUAUGAAGAUGUAUUUAUUAGGAGGUAAGCCUCCUCGAAAAAAUCAAAAGACCUUUGUUGCACCAAAUUCCUUGCUAUAAUGAUUCCUGUUAGAGUGAAACGCCUAUUUGCUUCCAGAGUAUAAAUUUCAUUCCAAUUGGAGGAAAAGGCUUAAAUGACUUCAAGAAACACAUUGUAAAUUUGCCACCUCUUUUGCAUUUUCCUGAGAUAUUUUCCUCAAGGAAUUGACGUGCAAAUCACCAAGGUCUACAUAUUUUUCCCAUUACCUACAAAAGUAGUGACUAUACCAAUUAGAAAUUUUGUUCACUAGUAAAAAAUCAAUAAGAGUACACUGCUUGGACACUUACAUAAGAAGUUAUAAUUUUUUUUUCUUUCUGAAUCAUUUCUCCUAAGCCGUUUUCUACUGACAGGAGUCUGUCUCUUCACAUUAGUGACAGGAAGAAAUAAUUAAGUGUAAGUUGUCACUUGUGAUCGGAAGAUCCAUGAAGUAAAAGUGAACUAAGUGGGGCAGAUGAAAUCCUGGCUGUCCUCUCUACAUCUGCUGAAAUAGACUUAGGAAUCAUCUCUGAAACAUUCCCACUUCUAAUUUCCAGAAUUUAUGUGGAUUACAAAUGAGAAUAAUCUAGAUUUUUCUUGUAGAAUCUUGAAGAGGCAUUCUUUAUUUUUAAUCACUUACCCUUAGGAAUAUCCUCAGAAUGUGCCUGAAAUUAGGACAAAUCUAUGUAUUAUAGUUAGAGUGAAAUAUUAGUAAUUGUUUAAUGUCACUACGCCUAACUUAACUGUUAGUGUGAAUUUUGAGUGGAUAAAUAAGGAAUAUUUAUUGCUCUCAUUGUUCAUUCAUUCAACAAGCAUUUAGUGAAUACCUUCCAUAUACCAGAGAUUUUUCAAGUAAUUGAGAAAAUAAAGAUAAUUAAGAUAGUUCACCUCAAGUUUCUCCCAGUUUAGAAGAAGAUAAAUUAGAAAAUUGAUGGUUAGAAUAUAGCAUGGUCAGAGCUAUGGGAAAAGAGAAUAUCAUAUGAGACUGGUGAACAGACAUGAGGAUGCAAUGCUUGUUCUUGGUCUGGAAGGAUACUUUGGAGCUAUUUAGGAGACUAAUGAUGGAAGACUUUGCUGGGUUGGGUAAAAUGUAGCAACUGCAAUAAUAGAGAAAAUUGCAGAAAAAAGGCCAGUGUCUGUCUAUUCUGGCUGCUGUAACAAAAAUACCCUAGACUGGAUGGCUUAUAAACAACAGAAAUUUAUUUCUCAUAUCUCUAGAUCCUGGAAUGUUCAAGAUUAAGGUGCUGGCUGAUUUAGUGUCUUUUGAGGGCCUGUUUCUUGUUGCUUCGUGGGAUGGUGUAAGGAACAAAGCAACUUUCUGGGCCAUCUUUUAUAAAGGCACUAAUACCAUGCACAAGGGCUCUGCACUUACGAUCUAAUCACCUACCAGAGGCCCCACCUCCUGAUAUCAUCACCUUGAGAGCGAGGAUCUCAACAUAUAAAUUUUAGGAGAACACAAAUAGACCAUAGUCACCAACAACUGCAAAGUCAAGUAGAUAUGAGGCUGCACCUCUGGGGAGCAGCAAGUAAUGUGGUCUAGCUGGGGAGAAGGGUAAGGAAGGAAUAAUGUAGGAGGUGAGCCUGAAGAAAGAGAGGCAAUGGUCAGAUCAUAAAGCCUCAAAUGCUUCCCUGAGAAGUUUGCAUUUUAUUCUGAAGAUUAUAGGAGGGCACUGUAGAUUUCCAAACAUGGCUAGUUUUGUAUUUUACAAGGAUUACUCUGGUAUUAAGAUAUUAGCAAGACUGGGGAUAAGGGACCAGUUAAGAAGAGAAAAAGAAGGAAUGAAGAUGCCCUCCCUUCAUCUCCAUCUUUUUAAUGGAAAGAUGGUUGUGCUUCUACCUGAAAAUGGAAAUAAUGAGAAGAAGCGACUUUCUUCUUUGGGAGGUGGAGGAUGAAGAGAAAGGCCAAGUUCAAUGUGAGUAUUCCAGUUUCAAAGGCAUAUACAACAUGUAAAUUGGACAGUGAGAUAAAAAGGGGAUAGGAGCUUAGAGAAAGUAUGGCUUAGAAAUAGAUCAUUGGCAUUAUGAUCAUAUGGGUAUUAGUCUUAUUAGUUCUGGCAACCUCCAUUUCUAUCAGGCUUAUGCUGUAUGAGUGCUCUGUUAUGGGUUUGCCUAUUUUCACUGUUGGUAAGAAUCAUCUAAGGUAUUCACUAUAAGAGGUUCUUUUUUUUUUUUUUUUUGAGAUGGAGUCUCGCUCUGUCGCCCAGGCUGAGGUGCAGUGGCGCCAUCUCAGUUCACUGCAACCUCCACCUCCUGGGUUCAAGCAACUCUCUGCCUCAGCCUCCCGAGUAGCUGGGAUUACAGGCGCCAGCCACCAUGCCCGGCUGAUUUUUUGUAUUCUUAGUAGAGAUGGGGUUUCACCAUCUUGGCCAGGCUGGUCUUGAACUCCUGACCUUGUGAUCCACCCACCUCAGCCUCCCAAAGUACUUUAAAAAAGAAAUGAAGAUAUUAUCAGUUCUAUUCCCAGAAUGAGUGAAUCAAAAUCUCCAAGAAAAGGCCUGGAGACAUGCUUGUCUUAUUUUGUUUUAUAAAUAACACCUUCAGAGGAUUUUGCCAGCAUGGAAUUCUGGGAUCUGCUUGUGUAGUAGCAACAUUUGUUAAGCACCUACUGUGUUGUAGGCACAUGACUCAAAGAUUUAUACACAUAAGGACUCUAUCCCUUACAAUAGCUGUCCCUAACCUUUUUGGCACCAGGGACUGGUUUUGUGGAAGACAAUUUUUCCACGGACUGGGUGGUGGGGUGGUUUUGGGAUAAUUCAAAUGCAUUACAUCUAUUGUGCACUUUAUUUACAUUAUUAUUACAUCAUGAUAUAUAAUAAAAUAAUUAUACAGCUCACCUUUGGGAGGCCAAGCCAGGUGGAUCACCUGAGGUCAGGAGUUCAAGAUCAGGCUGGCCAACAUGGCAAAACCCAUCUCUACUAAAAAUACUAAAAAUUAGCCCAGCAUGGUGGCAGGUGCCUGUAAUCCCAGCUGCUUGGGAGGCUGAGGAAGAGAGUUGCUUGAACCUGGGAAAUGGAAGUUGCAGUGAGCAGAGAUUAUGCCAUUGCACUCCAGCCUAGGCGACAGAGUGAGACUCUCUAAAAAAAAAAAAAAAAAAAAAAAUUAUACAGCUCAUCAUAAUGUAGAUUCAGUGGGAGCCCUGAGCUUCUUUUCUUGCAACUAGAUGCUCCCAUCUGGGGGCGAUGGGAGAUGGGGACAGAUCAUCAGGCAUUAGAUUCUCACAAGGAGAACAUAAGCUAGAUCCUUCACAUGAGCAGUUCACCAUAGGGUUUGUGCUCCUGUGAGAACCUAAUGCUGCUGAUGUGACAGGCGAUAGAGCUCAGGUGGUAAUGCGAGUGAUGAGGAGUGGCUGUAAAUACAGAUGAAGCUUCACUCACCUCCUGCUGUGUGGCCCAGUUCCCAACAGGCCACAGACCUGUACCAGUCCAUGGCCCCGGGGGUUGGAGACCUCUGCUUUAUAGCACAUAACAAAAUAAGUAUUAUCAUCCCUGUUUUAACAUGAGGAAACUGACAUUCAUAGUCUUGCUCAAGGUCUCAAAACUAAUGAAUGGAAACAGCAACUCCUACUGAUUCCAGUGUCUGUACUCUUUACCUUAAAAUACAUCUUGUCCUGCUUUGUGUUGAAGAAUGCCUAGAAUGACAUAUGAAAGGUAUUUUCUCUUAGCAAAGAACAUAUUGUAUGCCAAAGGAAAUUUAAAAAUUCAAAUGAAAUUAUCUUUAUGUGUCUGCUAAAAGUAGACCAUCUUUAGUGCUGAAAUUCCCUAACAUAUCUCUCCUUCCUUGCAAUAAUGUUGCAAUAUAUUCAGAUUUGCUAAACAGUACCUAUAUCCUCAGAUGCUUUGCUUCAAAUCCUUUAAAUAUUUUCUCUAUUAUUUUUGUCUUUUACUUCUCAUCUCUUUUCCUUCUCUUGCCAUAAGAUAGAAGCCACUAGCCACUGAAUACUGGUCAACUUCAAGCCAAAGGUGACUAAACAAAAUGGGGAUAGGAAGGUAGGCUUCCAAAGGAUGAACAGAAUGGGAGAGGAAGAGUGUUGAUACUUAAACUCAGAGCCAUGCUUUAAUAAAUUAUAUGGCUUAAUUGUUUAAAGCACCUGAUUAAGCUGUAUUUCAAUAUUAAAUACUUUCGGCUACAUUUGUCUUCUGUUCAACAAGUACAAACACAUUUUUCUCACUACAUGUGUCCCGUUAACAAUUAGGCUACUUUGACAUUUAAUGGUCUGAGUGUCCUCAUUCAAAAUAAUGUGCCCUGCAUGUUCUUGUGAUGCUAAAAAACUGUAGAAGUUAGGUCAUAUGUUUUAGCUUGCUGUUCUUCCUGAGGGUUAUAGUGCGGCAAGCUCUUCUGUGCAUGACCAUCAGUCCACCAAUACUUAUCAAAGGCACACAGGGUACAGGAUCAUACCCCAUGUUAUAGAGUGGUAAGUUAAGAAAAGCAAAGAUAAUAUCUGACAGGUUUAAAAAUAGAGGAAAUAGAGCACAUCCAAUCAGGGGUCCUGGAAUCAUAGAAGAGGCUCAAGAAUCUGGUGGCGAUAAAGUCAAGUAAGCAUUCUGGUGUCUGUGUAGAGACAAAAUGUCGGACAUAGGGUAUCAUAAAUGGGUAACAUCAAAGGGCAAGAAGUUCUGUGCUACGAACUUCAAAGCCUGUGAAUGAAACAUCUUGUAAUGCUGUAAUGCAAGAAAGUAAAGACAUACUUAAAUAAUAAUGAGGACACGUUACAAAAUCCUAAGAGGUAUUUUGAAAGAGCUCCCACUAGUUAAAUCUGGAACAAUUUGAGCAUCAAUAUAAUGACCAUAAGAAAUCACAACCCAUUAAAUAGGAGUACCUGAGUCCAUGCAAAUAUUAAUUAAGUAAUCAACCAAUUAUGAAGAAAUGUUCUUUCUUAUAGUACAAUGUAGUAUUAGAUGUAUAAAGAAUGAUACAAUUGGAAAAUCAUAAUUUGGCAACCAUCAAAAUGAUAAAGGAGUGAGACAAAAAUCACCAAUUGUCUCAGUUUGUUCAGGCUGCUAUAACAAAAUACCAUAAACUAGGUGGACUCUAAGAACAACAGAAAUUUAUUUCUUGCAGUUUUUGAGGCUGAGAAGGCCAAGAUCAAGCUGCAGGCAAAUUCAGCAUUUUCUGAGGGCCUGCUCCUGGGUUCAUAGAUGGAUAUCUCAUUGUGUCCUCAAAUGUCUUAUGUGUCCUCAAGGGGCAAGGGAGUGCUCCAGAGUCUCUGCUAUAAGGGCACUAAUUCCAUUCAUGAGGUCUCCACUCUCAUGACCUAAUCACCUAACAAAUGCCCUAUCUUCUAAUACCAUCAUAUUGGGAGUUAGGAUUUCUACAUAGGAAUUUUGAAGUGACAUAAAAACAUUUGCCAAAACUAGUGAGGGGACGUUUAAUGAGAAAUAAGACAUUUACCUAGCUGGCCUCAAAGUAUCCUAUCACAAGAUAUCUAUUAGUUACAAAGUGAAAAAUAGCAACCUGAAAGUGGAUAAACUUUGCAGACACCACCUUUACCAAGUGAUUAAAGUUAACAUUAUCAAUAAUAGCAUAAGACAACAUUAAGUGCCUUCUGAUAUGACACACUGGGAAUAGUACGUUACUUCUGUAGUAUUGUUUCUUUUUUGAGACAUAACCUGAAUUAUUCAUGAGGAAACAGUAGAUAAACAUCAAGAAUCAUUAAUUAAAAACAUAAGUUGACUGUAUUCUUGAGAGUUAUCAUGUUAUAAAAGACGAAGACUGGAACUGUCCCAGAUUAAAAGAGACUCAGGAGACACAACUGAUUGCAAAAGGAUCACCUUUUACUAUAAAGUACUUGAUUAGGGCAAAUGGUGUCAUCUGAACAAGGCCUAUGUAUAGUACUAUAUAUAGAUAACAGUACUAAAUCAAUGAUGCUCUCUUGAUUUCAAAAAGUGCCCUGCAGUUAUAUGAGGGAAUAUCUUUGUUUUAAAGAAAUAUACCCUGAGGUAUGUGAGGUAAUUAGUGGUAAUGAAUAAUGUCAGCUACUUACUCUCAAAUACUCAAAAAUGGACAGUUGAUGGGUAGAUAGAGAAAUCAAAGGUGGAAAAAUAUCAUUUGAAAAAUCUAUAUGAAUAUGGAAAUAUUUUGUAAAAUUCUUAUAACUUUUUUUGGAAAUCUAAAAUUACUUCAUAAUAGAACAUUUAAAACAACAUAAAAUUGAAAAUUGUCAAAUUUAAUUAUAUGUAUUUGUUCUCGCUAUCUAUUGCUGCAUAACAAAUAAUCUAAAACCUUUCAAUUUAGAAUAACAAACUUUUUUAUAUCUUAUGAUUUGGUGGGUAGGAAUUGGGGCAGGGCUCAGCUGGAUGAUUCUUCUACUCUUUUGAGGUACUGACUGAGAUCAGUUGGUGCUAUUCAGCGGCCAGCUGGUUUGCUCCAGCUGGAAGGAUCCAUAUCAGCUUCACUCAUAUGCCAGACAUCUUGGCAGGGAUAACUGGCAGGCAGGAAUUAGUUGAAAUAGUCGUCUGAAACACUUACGUGUAAAUCAGAUGUCUGACAUGAUAUCUCAGGGCUGUAAGUGCAGGUUCCUAGAGACAGGAAGUGGAAACUGACAGUUUCUUAAAGCCUAGAUCCAGAGAGAAUGGCACAUGUCUGCCAUAUUUAAUUAUUCAAAAUAGUCACAGAGCUCACCAGAUUUAAGGACAGCAGACACAAAGUGCACCUCUCCAUAAGAGGAGUGUCAAAGAAUGUGUGAGCAUCAUUAAUCGGCCAAAAUCGUUGCCCAUAAAAAACCUUUAUUUCCUCCAUUAUUUGUUUGUGUUUUAUAUUAUUGAUUUAUUAUCUCAUCUUUAUUAUUUCCUUCUGCUAGUCUUCAGUUUGUUUUGCUGUAUUUUGUGUGUCUUGAAAAGGAAGCUUAGAUUGUCCUCUUUUAGCUCUUAUUUUUUCUAAUAAAUAGAUCCUAGACUUUAAAUUUGUAUCUAAACACUGCUUUAGCUGAAUACCAUUAAUUUUCACAUAUAAUAUCUCAACUAUCAUUUAAUUAAAAGUAUUUUCUUUUUCUUUUUCUUUUUUUUUUUUAAGAGAGACCGGGUCUCACUCUGUUCCCAGGCAGGUGUGCAGUGGCAUAAUCAGCUCAUUGCAGCCUCUAACUCUUGGGCUCAUGCAAUCCUCCUACCUAAGACUCGUGAGUAGCUAGAACUAUAGACAUGCACCACCACACUCACCUAACUUUUUCUGUGUGUACAGAUAGGAUUUUGCUAUGUUGCUCAGGCUAGUCUCAAACUCCUGGCCUCAAGUGAUCCUGUCACCUCGACUUCCCAAAGCACAGGCAUGAGCCAUGGUGCUUGGUCUGUAAUCUCCAUUAUAAUUUAUUUUUUGAUUCCUGGAUUUAAAAGUGUCUAGUUUCCAAGGGUUGGAAAUGUCCUAAUCAUCUUUCAGUUACUAAUUUUUAACAUAAAUUUAUUCCAGUUAGAAAAACUAAAAAUUAUUCAAGGCUUUGAAAUACGUCAAUAUUUACUAUAUGACCCAGGAUCUUAUUAAUUUUUAAAAUGUUUCAUCUGCAAUUAAAAUAAUGUGGAUUCUAUCAUUGUUGGGUGAAACAGUCUACAUAUAUUUAUUCAGUCAAGUUGGUUAAUUGUGUUUCUAAGAUUUUCUCUAUCCUUUGAGAAUUUUUGUUUACUUUUUAAAAGUAACUUCACAAGAGAUGUGUUAAGGUCUUUUAUUAUGAUUGUAGAUUUUUCUAUUAAAAUGUUUAGUUAUAUAAUUUUUCUACUAAAUUUUUAGUUUUAGAUUUUUCUAUUAAAAUGUUUAGCUAUAUCAAUUUUUUACUGUAUGUAUUUAAUAAUUUUUUACUGUAUGUAUUUAAUAAUUACACUAUUGGUGGAUAAAGAUUUGGGAUUUAUGUUCCUAGGAGACUGACCUUUUUAUCAUUUUGAAAUGUAAAUCCCUUUAGCUACUAAUACAAAUUGUCAUAAGAAUCUACUUUUUCUAAUGUCAAUAUAGCUAAGCCAAAUAUUUUUGGUAAGUACUACUUGCAUGAUAUACCUUUUACAUUUUACUUUCAACUUUUCUGUGUCUUUCUAUUUAAGAUGCACUCAUCGUCAUAUAGUUCGAUUCUGAUAUUCUAGGUCUUAAUUGGAUUAUUUACUCAAUUUACAUUUAAUGUUAUUAUAGAUAUAGUUAUUUUCUAUUUCAUCCAUCUAUUUUAUAUUCUCGUUACUAUCUUUUCUUGCUAUCUUUAGGUCAAAUAACUAUUUUACUAUUCAUAUUUUCUCUCCAUUAGCAUUUUGAAACUAUUCCUUCAGUGAUUACCCUAGGAACUUAACUAUGCAUACUUGACUUAAUGUAGCCUAAUAUAAAUUAUUAUUUUAAACUUUAUGCACUUAUAAAGAUGUCUCUAGCUAUAAGAGUAUGAGACACAAAUUAAGCACUUAAUAUAUAUCUAUGAUAUUAUAGAAGGAGGGAAGUAAUAUUUAAAAGAGCAGAUAAAGUGAGACUGCAAAGUGUAAACAUUUUAAUUAGAGCUUUCAAAUUCUUAAAAUAUUUGCCUUCUGUGUUCUUCAAUCUCUCAGAACUUACAUUACUUUACAAGUGUUUCUCAAAGUACUGACUGUGAACUACCUGCAAUAAAAUACUGAGAGUGAGGAAGAGGGGUUGUGCUUGUUAAAAAUGUCAAUUCCUGGGAUCUGGUCUGUGCAUAAAAAUUAGAAAUUAUGCAUGCUUGAUUUCAAGAACCUACCAGUCGUAUGAAAGUAUUGUAUAAUUAAUCCAGUUGUUCCUAUUGACUUAACAAUAUGAACUAAUACUAGUUCUAAAUGGGUCAUGCAUCUUCAUGUCAGGAUGCCUGGAUUAAAAUUCUAGUCUUUACUACUUAUAAAGUAUGUGACCUUGGGCAAGUUACCUUAUAUCUCUAACCUUUAGUUUCUCAUUGUGUUCAAUAAAUGUAAUAGCAUAUACCUCAUAUAUUCAUUGUGAGAAUUAAAUAUAUGUAGAGUACUCAGAAUAGUACUUGACUUAUAGCAAGUAUUUAAGAAAUGCUGUUUUUAUAUUACAUUAUCAUUAAUAAAAAUGAUUCUAUUCUAGUUUUAUGCCACCGUUCUACAGGUAAAAAAUAUUAAAAAUUUGGGUGUACCUGAACUGAACAUUAAUUUUCUGAAGUUGAUUUUCCUGAUAUCAAUUUAUUUUGUUAUAUUCGGUCUCUGAUUCCCCUAAGUAUAAUUUCAGAAGGAAAAAAAUCUAGGUAAUUGAUUGUUCUAAUCAGUUACAUUUUGUUGAUAAAAGCUUUGCUGAAUUUAUUAUCCCUAAUUUCAGUAAAUUCACAGAAACAAUCUAUCAUUUAUUUAAUUGCUAGGAUACACUCUCUUUUGGAACACAUCUUCCAGCAAUUCAUGAGUAAAAUAGGACCUGGAAAUUAUGCUGUCAUAGUUGUGGAUAAAUGGUCUGGUUUAACUGCUAGUGAGACAGAUGAAAAAAUUAUUCUCAACUCCAUGAGCAACACUAUUGGAUAAGGUACCUGUACCAUUAUCCGUUAAAGUACCAUUUUAAUUUAAAACUGCAUUUUAAUUGCAUCAUGGGUACUCAUAAUGAGUCUGAGUUUGGCAAAGCUAGAAGGAUUGGUGCUCAAGGAGAUGAAAGAAAAAGAUCCAACACUCUGUGGAAAAGACCAUUCAACCACAGGGCACCUCAAAAUAACUAUUUUCAUUCUAGCCUUAGUGCAUGUAAAAGAAAAUACUUCUCUCAGCUGCUGUACAGUAUAGCUGCAAGUGGUUUCCAAAUCAAGGUAUUAUGUUUGCCUUGACCCAAGUGAAUUCCAAGGAAUACAAGUUCUGGAAGAUGUCAGUACACAUUCCAAAAAUGAUAAUAUCUAUAGCCAAGAGACUUUGGAAAAAAAAAAUGUGUUAAACUAAG
rnacentral:lncRNA from 10 species